UUACUCACUAGCUGUUUUUUUUGUCACAUGGUUGAGAGAUUUCAAUAACAACAAAAAAUGGCGACAAUCACGUUGUUCUAUGUGGGUCUUGCUGCGUCAUAAAAAAAAAUUGAAACACGGGAAUGAAACGCGCAAAAUGCAAAACCAGCUAAUCGAGUUGUUUACAUGAAGCGGAGGGCGGACAGAGCUAGGGAGGAGUCUCUGCGAUCAGACUACGCGACUGGACUGCUGGAGAGGCUUCGCGCGCUGAGGGCGGAGCCCCAAGAAAUCAUAACAAGUCUUACGUCAGCUUUGUGGUAUAAAUUAUGCAGUUCAAACACUGUACUGGGUAAACAGUGCUGGCGUCGACCAAUUAACAAGGUGUUAUUCCUGUAAAAAGACAUGUUCAAAAAAGUUUAGGAAAAAGAUGAUACACUACAGCUGUUACACAUGUAUGAUAUUGGGAUUACAUUCAUAUGAGGUGAGAAAGACAUCGUACUCAUGGUAGUAAAAUACCUUUCUAGAAUUAUGUAAUGACUGUAUUGAAUUCAUAGCACAUGCAUAAUUAUCUCUUGUGAAUAAUUACAAAGAUUUGCAGGUUUUGUUAAAUGCAGUUCCCUGUGUAACCUAUAGUAUAGAGAAGCCUGUUUACAUUACUUCUGCAUGCGAAUGUGUUCUCAUUCAUGUAAUUCGAGACUGUGGAAAACAUGAGUACACACAUGAUUUAUGGUUUUAGCAUAUUUUCAUAAUCUCCAAAGGCACCCCCACCUGCCGACCCUAUAGUAUACAGUGUCUUCUCAUUCUCCUGUCCCCCCUAUUUAUAUGGUUCCAUCUGCAAUAAAACAGUGUGACUGACUGUGGGGUAUUAUUGUUGCUCUGGACUCCCAGUGCUGUGUGUGUCUUUGACCCUGGCCUGGUAUUAUGAAGACGGAUGGCAUCCUGACACCUUGGCAGGGAGUUUGGUUGCACUGCCACCACCACUGCUGGUACUGUACCGUCACUGUGCUGCAACUCAGACUGACUGGGCCCCUGGCUCUUGGCUCAUGUCUCCUGUCUGCUAAAUCUGACAUCCAGGCUGCCCUGGUUCAGUUAUCACUGUGCUGAUGCUGUCCAUUUUAAAGGUACAGUACUGUGAUAACUGAAGGAUGGCUGCCAUCUUGACACACCUGACCCACUGACUAUGUGAUGAUGGAUGGAUGGAGGGAGGGAACUGGUGCUGCAGUGAAGGAAAAAGGGAGGAACUUUUGUGUCUGAAAUAAUUACAUAUGGGAUAUUACAAUGUUGUGUCUCCGACUUUUUUCAAACCACAUACAAAUAUUUGGAUAAUUAGAAAAUGUAUGAUUAUAGCCUAAAUGUUUUUAUUUUAUUUGACUAAAAUGUAUGUAUGAUGUAUUAUGUCAUAAGUUGAAAGUGAACAAAUUCUUCUUUUAUAGCAUUUGAGUCAUUCAUGUUUUUCAUUAAAUGCAAAUAAAUCAGAAAGAAACUGAAAAUAAUAUGUAGUCAUGUUAUUUAUAAUACUCAAGUGUGGAGCCAUUUACAUUACAUUUAAGUCAUUUAGCAGACGCUCUUAUCCAGAGCGACUUACAAAUUGGUGCAUUCACCUUAUGACAUCCAGUGGAACAGGAGCCACUACAGUAAUUUAAUUACAUUUCCAGAAAUAACAUGCAAUUAUUAAAGACAUUAUAGCC